GAUACUGGGUUGGCAUACAUCUCUUAUAUGACUUCAAUCAGUUCUUCAGCAAAGCAAAAAUGACUUCUCUUUUUUACUUGCUUGUAAUUUUAGCCAUACAGGGUAAAUCUUUUGCCCAGUCAAUAGAACCAUUGCAGACCACAGAACGUGCCACUGAGAGAGAGACAGUCAUUCUUUCAUGCAAAUAUGAUAGCCAAGCACGUAAUUUACAGUGGUAUCGACAAUAUCCUGGAUCCAGACCUGAAUUUCUGCUUCUUGUUUAUGAAUCAAACAGCGUACUACAUGCAGAACCCCCUUUCCCAAGACUGAAUGCCAGCGUGAACAAGGAGGGGAAGCGGGUUUAUCUGGAGAUCUCCUCUGUUGCAGUCACAGAUUCAGCUCUGUACUACUGUGCUCUGGAGCCCACAGUGACAGGAAACACAAGAACACUGUACAAAAACCUCUAUGGGAAGUCCUUAUCAUUUAAUGGUAAGUGUCCUGUAUGA